rnacentral:rRNA from 1 species
UAGGGAAUCUUCGGCAAUGGACGGAAGUCUGACCGAGCAACGCCGCGUGAGUGAAGAAGGUUUUCGGAUCGUAAAGCUCUGUUGUUAGAGAAGAACGUUGGUAGGAGUGGAAAAUCUACCAAGUGACGGUAACUAACCAGAAAGGGACGGCUAACUACGUGCCAGCAGCCGCGGUAAUACGUAGGUUCCGAGCGUUGUCCGGAUUUAUUGGGCGUAAAGCGAGCGCAGGCGGUUCUUUAAGUCUGAAGUUAAAGGCAGUGGCUUAACCAUUGUACUCUUUGGAAACUGGAGGACUUGAGUGCAGAAGGGGAGAGUGGAAUUCCAUGUGUAGCGGUAAAAUGCGUAGAUAUAUGGAGGAACACCGGUGGCGAAAGCGGCUCUCUGGUCUGUAACUGACGCUGAGGCUCGAAAGCGUGGGGAGCAAACAGG